rnacentral:snoRNA from 1 species
UCCCAAAGCCUUUUGUCAGGGUGGCAUUCGAUUUCAUAUCAACCAACUACAUUGUUGCCUGUUACGUCUUUGGAAGAUCAAUGCUAUUCGCCCGUGGUCCUAAGUGCUUGCACUUGGUGCUUGUUCCGUUCUGGAAUGAGCUUUGGUCACACCUGCUGGUAGUUUUUACUGGCAAUCUAGAAUAGUAUCGGAAACUUUUUGAGUUGGACCUACUCGACUUCGUGUCGUGAAAUGAGUUUGUCCGUAGUAUAGAGUCCGACACUU